GCAAACUUGGUCAUUUAGAGGAAGUAAAAGUCGUAACAAGGUUUCCGUAGGUGAACCUGCGGAAGGAUCAUUACUGAGUGAAGGUCUUCCCCCCGGGGGAGGCCUAACCUCCCACCCGUGUCUAUUAUACCCUGUUGCUUCGGCGGGUUCUCCCCCAUUUCUGGGGGUGUUUCCCGCCGGAGACCCCAACAUGAACACUGUAUUGAGAGAAUUGAAGUCUGAGUUUGAUUGUUACCAAUCAGUUAAAACUUUCAACAAUGGAUCUCUUGGUUCCGGCAUCGAUGAAGAACGCAGC
rnacentral:misc_RNA from 1 species